rnacentral:lncRNA from 1 species
GUUGCUGGAAUGAGUCAGUGGACUUUUAUAAAAUUCAGGAGCGCAAGCAACUAAAUGCAUAUAAAAUAAAAAAAAUUCUUGAAUAUUCUACAGUAGUUAGGAUUUAGAGAGUACAUUGCUACAUGUAGGAUGCAAAUGUAGAAGGCAAUCAGUACUAUAACUUGAUUCAACUGUAUAUGUAAAGGAAGAAAAAUCCUUGGUUAAAAAUUCAUUUAGAAGCAUUAAUGCAGGCAUGGUUGAGACCAAAAUACUAGAGCUAGCGAGGCACCCCAAGUGGAAGAUUUCUCGUUACAAAAUAUUGGGUAUUUUCUGGAUAGAAAUAUACCUUAAUAAAGGAACUAUCAAAUCUUAUGAAUAACCAGCACAGAUGACCAUAUCUUUUUUCAUGUCUUGAACUGAAACAAGACUAC